GGGGGCAAGCGUUGUCCGGAAUUAUUGGGCGGAAAGAGCGCGUAGGCGGUCCGGUAAGUCCGCUCUGAAAGUCCGGGGCUCAACCCCGGGAGGCGGGCGGAUACUGUCGGGCUAGAGUCCGGAAGAGGCGAGUGGAAUUCCUGGUGUAGCGGUGAAAUGCGCAGAUAUCAGGAGGAACACCAAUGGCGAAGGCAGCUCGCUGGGACGGUACUGACGCUGAGGCGCGAAAGCGUGGGGAGCAAACAGG
rnacentral:rRNA from 1 species